rnacentral:rRNA from 1 species
GACGAACGCUGGCGGCGUGCUUAACACAUGCAAGUCGAACGGUAAGGCCCUUCGGGGUACACGAGUGGCGAACGGGUGAGUAACACGUGGGUGAUCUGCCCUGCACUUCGGGAUAAGCCUGGGAAACUGGGUCUAAUACCGGAUAGGACCACUGCCUGCAUGGGUGGUGGUGGAAAGCUUUUGCGGUGUGGGAUGGGCCCGCGGCCUAUCAGCUUGUUGGUGGGGUGAUGGCCUACCAAGGCGACGACGGGUAGCCGGCCUGAGAGGGUGACCGGCCACACUGGGACUGAGAUACGGCCCAGACUCCUACGGGAGGCAGCAGUGGGGGAUAUUGCACAAUGGGCGCAAGCCUGACGCAGCGACGCCGCGUGAGGGAUGACGGCCUUCGGGUUGUAAACCUCUUUCAGCACCGACGAAGCGCAAGUGACGGUAGGUGCAGAAGAAGGACCGGCCAACUACGUGCCAGCAGCCGCGGUAA